rnacentral:tRNA from 1 species
GGGGCUGUAGCUUAGUUGGGAAAGCGCCUUCCUCGCACGAAGGAGAUCGCCGGUUCGAGUCCGGCCAGCUCCACC